rnacentral:rRNA from 1 species
UACGAAGGGGGCGAGCGUUGUUCGGAUUUACUGGGCGUAAAGGGCGCGCAGGCGGCUUUGUUUGUCAGGCGUGAAAGCCCCGGGCUUAACCUGGGAACUGCGUUUGAUACGGCAGGGCUAGAGUUCGGGAGAGGAGAGUGGAAUUCCCAGUGUAGAGGUGAAAUUCGUAGAUAUUGGGAAGAACACCAGUGGCGAAGGCGGCUCACUGGCCCGAUACUGACGCUGAGGCACGAAAGCGUGGGGAGCAAACAGG